rnacentral:rRNA from 1 species
UACGUAGGGUGCGAGCGUUGUCCGGAAUUACUGGGCGUAAAGCGUGCGCAGGCGGUGAUGUAAGACAGAUGUGAAAUCCCCGGGCUCAACCUGGGAACUGCAUUUGUGACUGCAUCGCUGGAGUACGGCAGAGGGGGAUGGAAUUCCGCGUGUAGCAGUGAAAUGCGUAGAUAUGCGGAGGAACACCGAUGGCGAAGGCAAUCCCCUGGGCCUGUACUGACGCUCAUGCACGAAAGCGUGGGGAGCAAACAGG